UUGCUAAAGGAAAAUUGGACCCCAUAAGUAUGGAGGCCUUUGAUCAUUUCCCUAGUUCCAUUUCUAGACAUCGGUCAGAUCCCAUUAAGAGCCAAAUUACUCAUCACUUUCAGAGAUCUGAGACUGCUACUGUAUCUACACAAGAAUUUAGGAUGGAACUGAUGAAUUAAAUACUUAUCUACACAAGUAUCGCAUAGAGUUGGAUCAACAUCUUGGUGCUCUUGUGGGGGGAUAUAUAAGGAAGCUGAGAAGUUUGCUUAUUAGAAAGGAGCAAAGGUGGCUGUUGUUUAUGGUGGAGCGCCAAUGGGUCAGCAUGUUUGUGUCUCUGCAGGCUCACUAGCCAUUCCGUUUUCUAUGACCACUUCUAUGAUUCGGGUGAUUCCAUUCAUGAUCAG